UGGCGGACGGGUGAGUAACGCGUGGGUAACCUGCCUUAUACAGGGGGAUAACAGUUGGAAACGACUGCUAAUACCGCAUAAGCGCACAGUAUCGCAUGAUACGGUGUGAAAAACUCCGGUGGUAUAAGAUGGACCCGCGUCUGAUUAGCUAGUUGGUGAGGUAAUGGCUCACCAAGGCGACGAUCAGUAGCCGACCUGAGAGGGUGACCGGCCACAUUGGGACUGAGACACGGCCCAAACUCCUACGGGAGGCAGCAGUGGGGAAUAUUGCACAAUGGGCGAAAGCCUGAUGCAGCGACGCCGCGUGAGCGAAGAAGUAUUUCGGUAUGUAAAGCUCUAUCAGCAGGGAAGAAAAAAAUGACGGUACCUGACUAAGAAGCUCCGGCUAAAUACGUGCCAGCAGCCGCGGUAAUACGUAUGGAGCAAGCGUUAUCCGGAUUUACUGGGUGUA
rnacentral:rRNA from 1 species